AUUGAACGCUGGCGGCAGGCCUAACACAUGCAAGUCGAACGGUAACAGGAAGACGCUUGCUUCUUUGCUGACGAGUGGCGGCCGGGUGAGUAAUGUCUGGGAAACUGCCUGAUGGAGGGGGAUAACUACUGGAAACGGUAGCUAAUACCGCAUAAUGUCGCAAGACCAAAGAGGGGGACCUUCGGGCCUCUUGCCAUCGGAUGUGCCCAGAUGGGAUUAGCUAGUAGGUGGGGUAACGGCUCACCUAGGCGACGAUCCCUAGCUGGUCUGAGAGGAUGACCAGCCACACUGGAACUGAGACACGGUCCAGACUCCUACGGGAGGCAGCAGUGGGGAAUAUUGCACAAUGGGCGCAAGCCUGAUGCAGCUAUGCCGCGUGUAUGAAGAAGGCCUUCGGGUUGUAAAGUACUUUCAGCGGGGAGGAAGGGAGUAAAGUUAAUACCUUUGCUCAUUGACGUUACCCGCAGAAGAAGCACCGGCUAACUCCGUG
rnacentral:rRNA from 1 species